rnacentral:rRNA from 1 species
AACGAACGCUGGCGGCAUGCCUAACACAUGCAAGUCGAACGAGACCUUCGGGUCUAGUGGCGCACGGGUGCGUAACGCGUGGGAACCUGCCCUUAGGUUCGGAAUAACUCCCCGAAAGGUGUGCUAAUACCGGUUAAUGUCUUCGGACCAAAGAUUUAUCGCCUUUGGAUGGGCCCGCGUUGGAUUAGCUAGUUGGUAGGGUAAAAGCCUACCAAGGCGACGAUCCAUAGCUGGUCUGAGAGGAUGAUCAGCCACACUGGGACUGCGACACGGCCCAGACUCCUACGGGAGGCAGCAGUGGGGAAUAUAGGACGCUGGGCGAAAGCCUGAUCCAGCAGUGCCGCGUGAGUGAUGAAGGCCUUAGGGUUGCAAAGCUCUUUUACCCGGGAUGAUAAUGACAGUACCGGGAGAAUAAGCUCCGGCUAACUCCGUG